rnacentral:rRNA from 1 species
AGUGAACGCUGGCGGUAGGCCUAACACAUGCAAGUCGAACGGCAGCACAGUAAGAGCUUGCUCUUACGGGUGGCGAGUGGCGGACGGGUGAGGAAUACAUCGGAAUCUACUUUUUCGUGGGGGAUAACGUAGGGAAACUUACGCUAAUACCGCAUACGACCUACGGGUGAAAGCAGGGGAUCUUCGGACCUUGCGCGAUUGAAUGAGCCGAUGUCGGAUUAGCUAGUUGGCGGGGUAAAGGCCCACCAAGGCGACGAUCCGUAGCUGGUCUGAGAGGAUGAUCAGCCACACUGGAACUGAGACACGGUCCAGACUCCUACGGGAGGGCGCAGUGUGGAAUAUUGGACAAUGGGCGCAAGCCUGAUCCAGCCAUACCGCGUGGGUGAAGAAGGCCUUCGGGUUGUAAAGCCCUUUUGUUGGGAAAGAAAAGCAGCAGGUUAAUACCCCGCUGUUCUGACGGUACCCAAAGAAUAAGCACCGGCUAACUUCGUG